GACGAGGGAUCCUAGCGUUGUUCGGAAUCAUUGGGCGUAAAGCGGGUGUAGGCGGCCCAGCAAGUCGGAAGUGAAAUCCCACGGCUCAACCAUGGAAGUGCUUUCGAAACUGCUGGGCUUGAGUACAAAAGAGGAUCGCGGAAUUCCCGGUGUAGAGGUGAAAUUCGUAGAUAUCGGGAGGAACACCAGUGGCGAAGGCGGCGAUCUGGGUUGAUACUGACGCUGAGGUGCGAAAGCGUGGGGAGCAAACAGG
rnacentral:rRNA from 1 species